CUACGGACUUGAUUGUAUUGAGCCUUGGUAUGGAAACCUGCUAAGUGGCAACUUCCAAAUUCAGAGAAACCCUGGAAUUAAAAAAGGGGCAAUCCUGAGCCAAAUCCGUGUUUUGAGAAAACAAGCGGUUCUCGAACUAGAACCCAAAGGAAAAGGAUAGGUGUAGGAAGCUCAG
rnacentral:ribozyme from 1 species